AGGAAGUGGCUGGCAGAAAGAGCGAUACGUAGCAAGGGCAGGAGCACCCGGGUUGAGAGCUUGGGGCCGUAUCGGGCGGAGCCCUGAGCCAAGUCCCCUGGGGUCCCAGGGCUACAUUCCUCUGAGGUCUGCGGAGGCCACUGCUUAAAGGCGCAGAAGUGCAGCUGGGAACGAGAACAAAGCGGCCAGACCCCCCUCGGAGGAAGGAAGGAGCGAGCCCCAGGAAGCAGCUGAUAGCGCUAAGCUCAGCUUGUUUUUUCCUCUGCUCAACAGUUCUCCUGCCACGGCAAACAAAAGACGUACGUUCUGAUUCCCUUCGGUGUUUGGAUUGCGGCCGCAGACUGGAUCUGCUUUGUGAAGAGCUGAGGGUAGCUUCUGGCUCGACCUGCCGCUUGAUGGCAACGCUGUCCGCCUUGCCUGUCCCCAGCCAGGAGCCCCACGAGGGCAUUGCUCUAGAUCAAGGGAUGAGAUGUCGAGAUUUCUACCCGUUGACUCGUGACCUUGGCAUUGAAGGACCUGCAGCGUAGGCCUUAAAAACUGUUAAGAUAGGAACCCUUGUUCCAUGGAGAUGCCCUGUCCCCGCUAUUAUCUCAGCCAAGGUCACAGCCCGCUGCUGUGCAGGGCCACACUGGGACUGGUGCCACCUUUAUCCCAUGGGUCAAGGCAAUGGCAAUAGAUGUCAGGUUCCUGGAGGAUCGGGGUCCGAAUCCCGGUCUGUCCGCCUUCAAGGUCACCAGUAAGUGACAGGUGGGUCUAAGCAAUCCCCUGAGCAUGAUGAACGCAGAGACUUUGUACUCCCGGGUGUGAGCGGUGAGGGAGUGGGCAGACCUUGUCAGUGUCCUAAUCCAUAGUCUCAGGACAGGGACAGGCCAAGAUGCGACAGCAAUGCUGGGCAUGGUUUGUUUUGCUCCAGCAGGUGUUGAACGUGUGGCUAUGCCAAAGGCCACCAGCAAACCCACACGAAGCAAACACAAAGCUUCCACUGAUGGGUCUGUGGGCUGCCGAUUCUUGUGGGCUUUACAGUGCGGCAACGGCAGUGCUGGUCACAUGGACCGAGAGACUGUUUUGAUGCCAGAGACUAAUGCUCCGAUCCGAUCCGUCACCACAGGAGUUAAAGGAGCAGCCAAGAGAUCAGCGUGGUUGAACCCCCGCUCUAAGCUGCCUGCCGUUCUCUCCUCCCCUCCCACUCUGAGACUGCAGUUCACAUGCCGAAGACAAAUGGCAUAAAGGGCAGGCAAUUAAUUUUUUCAGCUGGAGACUGAUGGAAUGUGGGUGUUUGGCAUGCACCUCUGUCUCCAGUCUCCUCAGGGAAAUACCUCCCGGAGGGCCCUUCAAAUUCCUCAUCUGCCCUUUAGGACCAAUAUGUAAUUCAGUCCUGAAAAAUCAGUCGGAAUGGGUCUUGUGUCCACUAUACCAAGAGCCCAAGGACUGCACAGACGACAGGCCCAUUCGUUUAUUUGUGGUUUUGGUUUGUUUGUUUUUGUUUUCUAACCCAAGGUUUCAUGUAGUUUAGGCUGGCCUCAAACUCACUAUGUGGACAAGGCUGGCCUUGGACUUCUGAUCCUCCUUCUUGUUGGGGUUACAGGUGUGUGUAACUGAGGGGACAGUUCGUCAUGACUUUCCUUGGAGAGAGAGAAAGGUCGUCUUAGAAUAUACCUCAGGGUCUAGAUUCCAAGUCCCCAGAACCUCUGUUGGGUUGGACCAGGCCAGCCAACCUGGUGAACAAAGGCAAGCAGAGCAUAAAGAAUUUACUGGAUAGGAUGCAGAGAAGCCCUGGGGACGGGGUGCACACCUUUAAUCCUAGCACUCCGGAGGCUGGGGCUGGUUGAUGUCUGAGUUCUAGGCCUACUCUGGUUGAUAGAGUGAGUUCUAGAACAGCUAGGGCCACACAGAGAAACCCUGUCUUAAAGGGGGGGGGGUGGCUGAGGAAGGGGGGAACCAUGCAGGGAAGUGUAUUAACAUAACAGCCAACAGGACCUGGAACUGGAGAAAAACUACUGCAUCCAUGUUGAUAGAGGUAUGAAGAUGUCAGAGGUAAACAUACAGGCUCAGGCUGAGCAGGGAUAAAACUCAAUAGUAAAACACAUAUCUAGCAACACGGGUUUAAGGCCCAGAGCUGCUGCAGCUGCUGUGGCGGAGGCCGAGGCAGCUGUUGCUGUUGAAGAAGAGGAGGAGGAGGAGGAGGAGGAAGAAGGAAGAGGAAGAUGAUGUAGGUCUGUUGGGAUGGGCUGUAGCUGUGUGUUAAAGCAUGUGUUAAGGCUUGCCUUUGAUUCCCAGAAGCGUAUUAACAAGGCAGACAGGCAUGGUGGCGCAUUUCGGCAUUUGGAAAGCAGGAGCCAGAGGAUCAAAAUUUUAAAACAAGCCUGGGCUACAUGAGACCCUUAAAAAGAAAACAAAUAAAAUGCAUUCUUCUGUUGGAAACUUAGGAGGGUGACCUCAGGCAAUCUUUAAUGUCUUUUGAUUCUGUUUUCUAAGCUGCAAGAUGGAGCGGCAGAGGUGGGGAGGGCAACUGUCUUGUAGGGUCAUUACGAAGAAUAAAUAAAAACAAGACUCAUACAAGCAUUUAAACUA
rnacentral:lncRNA from 1 species